UCUCUGGUGGUCCAGUGGUUAGGACUCCACGCUUUCACUGUGGAGGCCCAGGUUCAAUCCCUGGUUGGGGAA